rnacentral:rRNA from 1 species
CCUACGGGUGACAGCAGUGGGGAAUAUUGCACAAUGGGGGAAACCCUGAUGCAGCAACGCCGCGUGGGUGACGAAGUAUUUCGGUAUUUAAAGCCCUAUAAGCAGGGAAAAGAAUGACGUUACCUGACUAAAAAUCCCCGGCUAACUACGUGCCACCAGCGGCGGUAAUACGUAGGGGGCAAGCGUUAUCCGGAUUUACUGGGUGUAAAGGGGGCGUAGACGGUUGGGCAAGUCUGAAGUGAAAGCCCGCGGCUGAACUGCGGAACGGCGUUGGAAACUGUGUAACUGGAGUGUUGGAGAGGUAAGCGGAAUUCCUGGUGUAGCGGUGAAAUGCGUAGAGAUCAGGAGGAACACCGGCGGCGAAGGCGGCUUACUGGACAGUAACUGACGUUGAGGCUCGAAAGCGUGGGGAGCAAACAGGAUUAGAUACCCUUGUAGUC